UUACCCAUUUUAAAACCACAAAUAGGGUGCCUUAGGAGGCUAACACAGAAGGGUACAGUAAGUCUCCAUAAAACCCAGAGAAGAGAUGGUAAAACUCCUCUUUGGAUCCUGUCUGGAGUCACAACU